GAAAAAUCAAUCCUUGCUAGAUAUAAAUUAAUCAAAAAACUCUCAGAAGGCAUAGGUUUUGCUUCUUGGUGAAUCUGCAAUCUUUAGAGUCUCUGAUAUCAGCUUCUGUGCUUUCUUGCUUCUCAUCUCUACUCUCAUGCUUUCGCUCUUAUCUAUCUUAUCAUAUGACUUCUUCAUCUU